AGUGGCGGACGGGUGAGUAACACGUAGGUAACCUGCCCCGGAGCGAGGGAUAACAUUUGGAAACAGAUGCUAAUACCGCAUAACAACAAAAGCCACAUGGCUUUUGUUUGAAAGAUGGCUUUGGCUAUCACUCUGGGAUGGACCUGCGGUGCAUUAGCUAGUUGGUAAGGUAACGGCUUACCAAGGCGAUGAUGCAUAGCCGAGUUGAGAGACUGAUCGGCCACAAUGGAAUUGAGACACGGUCCAUACUCCUACGGGAGGCAGCAGUAGGGAAUCUUCCACAAUGGGCGCAAGCCUGAUGGAGCAACACCGCGUGAGUGAAGAAGGGUUUCGGCUCGUAAAGCUCUGUUGUUGGAGAAGAACGUGCGUGAGAGUAACUGUUCACGCAGUGACGGUAUCCAACCAGAAAGUCACGGCUAACUACGUGCCAGCAGCCGCGGUAAUACGUAGGUGGCAAGCGUUAUCCGGAUUUAUUGGGCGUAAAGCGAGCGCAGGCGGUUGCUUAGGUCUGAUGUGAAAGCCUUCGGCUUAACCGAAGAAGUGCAUCGGAAACCGGGCGACUUGAGUGCAGAAGAGGACAGUGGAACUCCAUGUGUAGCGGUGGAAUGCGUAGAUAUAUGGAAGAACACCAGUGGCGAAGGCGGCUGUCUGGUCUGCAACUGACGCAGAGGCUCGAAAGCAUGGGUAGCGAACAGGAUUAGACACCCUGGUAGUCCAUGCCGUAAACGAUGAGUGCUAGGUGU
rnacentral:rRNA from 1 species